rnacentral:rRNA from 1 species
UACGUAGGGUGCAAGCGUUAUCCGGAAUUAUUGGGCGUAAAGAGCUCGUAGGCGGUUUGUCGCGUCUGCUGUGAAAACUGGAGGCUCAACCUCCAGCCUGCAGUCGAUACGGGCAGGCUAGAGUUCGGUAGGGGAGACUGGAAUUCCUGGUGUAGCGGUGAAAUGCGCAGAUAUCAGGAGGAACACCGGUGGCGAAGGCGGAUCUCUGGGCCAUUACUGACGCUGAGGAGCGAAAGCGUGGGGAGCGAACAGG